GUGAGCGGGAGAGCAACUUUCGGGUUAAACCUGAGGAACCUCCUGACACCUAAAAAACGAUAUGGGUGCAAACCCAUCACGUGAGAACGUGGUCCCUGAAAUAGAAACGACACGUCCUCUUUACGUUGACAAUGAUAUGGCACAUAGGGUGACCUGUGAAGUUAUUGAGGAGUAAAGAGGGAGCGAUGAAACGAUCAUACAUCGUGGUGCAAGCUUAAAUAGGACUUUCUAAGUCGGGUAAAGCGCAUAGAUGAAUGUUGCUAGGAAGUUUCAUCUAAAUGACUUCCGAACAGAAUCAGGGGUAUUCCCGCACAC
rnacentral:RNase_P_RNA from 1 species